rnacentral:tRNA from 1 species
AUUUGAAUGCUGGAAGUAGGUAAACAGGGUAAAUUAAGGAUUUAUUGGUUAAUAGCCUUGAAGGUUCGAGUCCUUCUUCAAAUA